rnacentral:rRNA from 1 species
GAUGAACGCUGGCGGCGUGCUUAACACAUGCAAGUCGAACGAUGAAGCACAGCUUGCUGGGUGGAUUAGUGGCGAACGGGUGAGUAACACGUGAGUAACCUGCCCUUAACUCUGGGAUAAGCCUGGGAAACUGGGUCUAAUACCGGAUAGGAGCGCCUACCGCAUGGUGGGUGUUGGAACGAUUAAUCGGUUUUGGAUGGACUCGCGGCCUAUCAGCUUGUUGGUGAGGUAAUGGCACACCAAGGGGACGGCGGGUAGGCCGCCCGGGAGGGUGAACGGGCACCAGGGGACUGCGGGACGGACCAGACUGCUACGGUGGGCAACAGGGGGGAACAUUGCCCAACGGUACCGCGUCGGAGGCAGCGACGUCGCGGUAGGGAAGACCGUCUUUGGGUUGUAAACCUCUUUCAGUAGGGAAGAAGCGAAAGUGACGGUACCUGCAGAAGAAGCACCGGCUAACUACGUG